GCGCCCGUAGCUCAGCUGGAUAGAGCGGCGGUUUCCUAAACCGCAGGUCGUUGGUUCGAAUCCAAUCGGGCGCG
rnacentral:tRNA from 1 species